GGAUUGCAGGCUGCAACCCGCCUGCAUGAAGUUGGAAUCGCUAGUAAUCGCGGAUCAGCAUGCCGCGGUGAAUACGUUCCCGGGCCUUGUACACACCGCCCGUCACACCAUGAGAGUCGGGAACACCCGAAGUCCGUAGCCUAACCGCAAGGGGGGCGCGGCCGAAGGUGGGUUCGAUAAUUGGGGUGAAGUCGUAACAAGGUACC
rnacentral:rRNA from 1 species